AUUCCACUUUUCAAAAUGAAGGGCCUGCUCCUGUUCCUGUCCCUAGUGAAAAUGAGCCUCGCCGUGCCGGCAUUUCCUCAACAACCUGGGGCUCAAGGCAUGGCACCUCCUGGCAUGGCUAGUUUGAGCCUUGAGACAAUGAGACAGUUGGGAAGCUUGCAGGGGCUCAACGCACUUUCUCAGUAUUCUAGACUUGGCUUUGGAAAAGCACUUAAUAGUUUAUGGUUGCAUGGACUCCUCCCACCGCAUAAUUCUUUCCCAUGGAUAGGACCAAGGGAACAUGAAACCCAACAGCCAUCCUUGCAGCCUCACCAGCCAGGACUGAAACCCUUCCUCCAGCCCACUGCUGCAACCGGUGUCCAGGUCACACCCCAGAA
rnacentral:lncRNA from 1 species